rnacentral:rRNA from 1 species
AGUGAACGCUGGCGGUAGGCCUAACACAUGCAAGUCGAACGGCAGCACAGUAAGAGCUUGCUCUUACGGGUGGCGAGUGGCGGACGGGUGAGGAAUACAUCGGAAUCUACUUUUUCGUGGGGGAUAACGUAGGGAAACUUACGCUAAUACCGCAUACGACCUACGGGUGAAAGCAGGGGAUCUUCGGACCUUGCGCGAUUGAAUGAGCCGAUGUCGGAUUAGCUAGUUGGCGGGGUAAAGGCCCACCAAGGCGACGAUCCGUGGCUGGUCUGAGAGGAUGAUCAGCCACACUGGAACUGAGGCACGGUCCAGACUCCUACGGGAGGCAGCAGUGGGGAAUAUUGGACAAUGGGCGAAAGCCUGAUCCAGCCAUACCGCGUGGGUGAAGAAGGCCUUCGGGUUGUAAAGCCCUUUUGUUGGGAAAGAAAAGCAGCAGGUUAAUACACCGAUGUUCUGACGGUACCCAAAGAAUAAGCACCGGCUAACUUCGUG